UCCUACGGGAGGCAGCAGUGGGGAAUAUUGGACAAUGGGGGCAACCCUGAUCCAGCCAUGCCGCGUGUGUGAAGAAGGCCCUCGGGUUGUAAAGCACUUUCAGCGGGGAAGAACGCCUAGCGGUUAAUACCCGCUAGGAAAGACAUCACUCGCAGAAGAAGCACCGGCUAACUCCGUGCCAGCAGCCGCGGUAAUACGGAGGGUGCAAGCGUUAAUCGGAAUUACUGGGCGUAAAGCGCGCGUAGGUGGCUUGAUAAGCCGGUUGUGAAAGCCCCGGGCUCAACCUGGGAACGGCAUCCGGAACUGUCAAGCUAGAGUGCAGGAGAGGAAGGUAGAAUUCCCGGUGUAGCGGUGAAAUGCGUAGAGAUCGGGAGGAAUACCAGUGGCGAAGGCGGCCUUCUGGACUGACACUGACACUGAGGUGCGAAAGCGUGGGUAGCAAACAGGAUUAGAUACCCUGGUAGUCCACGCCGUAAACGAUGUCGACCAGCCGUUGGGUGCCUAGCGCACUUUGUGGCGAAGUUAACGCGAUAAGUCGACCGCCUGGGGAGUACGGCCGCAAGGUUAAAACUCAAAUGAAUUGACGG
rnacentral:rRNA from 1 species